rnacentral:rRNA from 2 species
UACAGAGGCCUCAAGCAUUAUCCGGAAUUACUGGGCGUAAAGGGUGUGUAGGUGGUCUAGUUAGUCUUUUGUAAAAUUCUUCGGCUUAACCGGGGGCGCGCGAGAGAAACGGCUAGACUUGAGGGUGCGAGAGGUGCACGGAACUCAUGGAGUAGGGGUGAAAUCCGUUGAUAUCAUGAGGAACACCAAAAGCGAAGGCAGUGCACUGGCGCAUUCCUGACACUCAAACACGAAAGCGUGGGUAGCGAAUGGG